UACGUAGGGGGCAAGCGUUGUCCGGAAUCAUUGGGCGUAAAGAGCGUGUAGGCGGCUCGAUAAGUCCGCUCUGAAAGCCCGGGGCUCAACCCCGGGAGGCGGGCGGAAACUGUCGGGCUAGAGUCCGGAAGAGGCGAGUGGAACUCCCGGUGUAGUGGUGAAAUGCGUAGAGAUCGGGAAGAACACCAGUGGCGAAGGCGACUUUCUGGACCAGAGCUGACACUGAGACGCGAAAGCGUGGGGAGCCGAGUCCGGG
rnacentral:rRNA from 1 species